AUGUGCAACAAUGGAGUCCUUAGAUACUCGAAGGAUAUUAGUCAGUUUGAUCUGCAAAAAUGUCAACAUUGGAACCGGUUCCUCGAUAUACAUUAUGAUAGAAUUGGUAAAGAUAGUUUCUUUAGCCACAAGGAGAUUACUAUACUUUAUGCUCCUGAUAUGUGUGACUGCCUCCCUUCAUUGGAUGAAUGGCAUGAUUGGUGGCUUGCCCACAAGAAAGUUGUGGCAGAAAGAGAACGUCAAAUUUAUCUAGAGAAAGAGGUUUAA